rnacentral:rRNA from 1 species
AGAGUUUGAUCCUGGCUCAGAUUGAACGCUGGCGGCAUGCUUUACACAUGCAAGUCGAACGGCAGCACGGGUGCUUGCACCUGGUGGCGAGUGGCGAACGGGUGAGUAAUGCACCGGAACGUACCCAGUAAUGGGGGAUAACACAUCGAAAGAUGUGCUAAUACCGCAUACGCCCUGAGGGGGAAAGCGGGGGAUCGUAAGACCUCGCGUUAUUGGAGCGGCCGAUGCCGGAUUAGCUAGUUGGUGAGGUAAGAGCUCACCAAGGCGACGAUCCGUAGCUGGUCUGAGAGGACGACCAGCCACACUGGGACUGAGACACGGCCCAGACUCUUACGGGAGGCAGCAGUGGGGAAUUUUGGACAAUGGGCGCAAGCCUGAUCCAGCCAUGCCGUGUGAGUGAAGAAGGCCUUCGGGUUGUAAAGCUCUUUCGCAAGGAAAGAAAACUUAUCUACUAA